UACGGAGGGUGCGAGCGUUGUCCGGAAUCAUUGGGCGUAAAGGGCGCGUAGGUGGCCACUUCAAGCGUGCGGUGAAAGUCGGGGGCUCAACCCCUGAUCGGCCGUGCGAACUGGGGGGCUGGAGCACUGUAGAGGCAGGCGGAAUUCCGGGUGUAGCGGUGGAAUGCGUAGAGAUCCGGAAGAACACCGGUGGCGAAGGCGGCCUGCUGGGCAGUUUUGCUGACACUGGAGGCGCGACAGCGGUGGGGAGCAAACAGG
rnacentral:rRNA from 1 species